UUCGUCCUACGGGGCGCAGCAGUGGGGAAUAUUGCACAAUGGGGGGAACCCUGAUGCAGCGACGCCGCGUGGGUGAAGGAGUACUUCGGUACGUAAAGCCCUAUCAGCAGGAAAGAAAAUGACGGUACCUGACUAAGAAGCCCCGGCUAACUACGUGCCAGCAGCCGCGGUAAUACGUAGGGGGCAAGCGUUAUACGGAUUUACUGGGUGUAACGGGAGCGUAGACGGCAGGGCAAGUCGGGAGUGAAAGCCCGGGGCUCAACCAUGGGACUGCUCUGGAAACAGUAAAGCUGGAGGGCGGGAGG
rnacentral:rRNA from 1 species